rnacentral:rRNA from 1 species
UACGAACUGUGCGAACGUUAUUCGGAAUCACUGGGCUUAAAGGGUGCGUAGGCGGCUGCCUAAGUCAGGUGUGAAAUCUCUCGGCUCAACCGGGAAACUGCGCUUGAUACUGGGCGGCUCGAGUGAGGUAGGGGUGUGUGGAACUUCCGGUGGAGCGGUGAAAUGUGUAGAUAUCGGGAGGAACACCAGUGGCGAAGGCGACUACCUGGCCUGUUCUUGACGCUGAGGCGCGAAAGCUAGGGGAGCAAACGGG